UACGUAGGGUGCAGGCGUUAAUCGGAAUUACUGGGCGUAAAGUGUGCGCAGGCGGCUUCGCAAGUCGAGUGUGAAAUCCCCGAGCUUAACUUGGGAAUUGCGCUCGAAACUACGGAGCUGGAGUGUGGCAGAGGAAGGUGGAAUUCCACGUGUAGCGGUGAAAUGCGUAGAGAUGUGGAGGAACACCGAUGGCGAAGACAGCCUUCUGGGCCAACACUGACGCUCAUGCACGAAAGCGUGGGGAGCAAACAGG
rnacentral:rRNA from 1 species